rnacentral:rRNA from 1 species
UGCGUAGGCGGACUAAUAAGUCAGUGGUGAAAUCUCUCGGCUCAACCGGGAAACUGCCAUUGAUACUGUUAGUCUUGAGUUCGGUUGAGGUAGGCGGAAUGUGUAAUGUAGCGGUGAAAUGCUUAGAUAUUACACAGAACACCAAUUGCGUAGGCAGCUUACUAGACCGACACUGACACUGAGGUACGAAAGCGUGGGGAGCGAACAGGAUUAGAUACCCUGGUAGUCC